ACACACCCACAGGAAGGCUUUGACAGGCUCCAAUCUGGUUGUGUGUCUAGGGCCAGGCUCUGUCAGCCCACAUCUCCCAUGGAUGCCUCCCAAAUGCCAGAGGGGAGGCUAGGAGCCAGCACAGAGGGGUCAGGAACUGCCCUCCGUGCCUGAGCAUGAGGAAGGAUGGCCACAGAGCACACUCAGAGCGCAGAGAGAACAGCACGUCUGGUUUCCUUGCUUUGCACCUCUGAGCCAAGUUCAAGGUCACCUCUGCUAGGAAGCCCAGGUUAGCACUUGACAGCACAUAUGGGCCUGAGAUAGCCAUUGGGAGUGCAGCAGAAAAACAAGCGAAGGUCCAUGGAGAUGACAGCAAUGUAGAGACCAGGCCCUCUGCUCCACAGCUCUGACCCUCUGACCGCAGGACACAGUGACUCUGGAGCCCCAGGGUACCCGAGACGCUGCCUUUCAUCUUCCUCAGAUGCUCUUCUCUUCUCACGUUUACUGUUGCUGUGGCCAGGUGGCAGUUAGGCUGUGGCUGUCACUGCCUGUGUAAGCAGGAGCCUCCUCACGAUCCCUGGUGGCUUCAUCUCAGGCGAUGACCCUCUGAAGAAGGAAUCAGAUUCUGGUUGCUGAAAACUUCCCCUGACACCUUCCAGAAGACCCAGCCGGCCCUGGCAUCACACCUUGCAGAAUGGUGUCCACAGCAUGGAUGAAAGUGGGAAGGUCCCAGUACAGCCAUCACACACACUGCCCUGCUCCUGAAGGCACAGACAAUGCUGUGCAGAGAACACACACUCUGAUGACUCUGCUGAAAGUAACUAGAAGGAAGGGCAAGACUCAAAUGUGGAAUGGGUGUGGGAAUCCCUGACUCCUCAUGCUCUGUAGACCAACACAGGAAAAAAAAUCCAAGCCCUCAUGAGGCAAAAGAGCUUUUUUAAGAAAAUACAAAAAUACUAAGUGAUAAUAAAGCAUUAUAUCAGA